CCUACGGGGGGCAGCAGUGGGGAAUAUUGCACAAUGGGGGAAACCCUGAUGCAGCGACGCCGCGUGAGCGAAGAAGUAUUUCGGUAUGUAAAGCUCUAUCAGCAGGGAAGAAAAUGACGGUACCUGAGUAAGAAGCUCCGGCUAAAUACGGGCCAGCAGCCGCGGUAAUACGGAUGGAGCAAGCGUUAUCCGGAUUUACUGGGUGUAAAGGGAGCGCAGGCGGCCUUGCAAGUCUGAUGUGAAAUACCGGGGCUCAACCCCGGAGCUGCAUUGGAAACUGGGAGGCUGGAGUGUCGGAGAGGCAGGCGGAAUUCCUGGUGUAGCGGUGAAAUGCGUAGAGAUUAGGAGGAAAACCAGUGGCGAAGGCGGCCUGCUGGACGACAACUGACGGUGAGGCGCGAAAGCGUGGGGAGCAAACAGGAUUAGAUACCCGAGUAGUC
rnacentral:rRNA from 1 species